rnacentral:rRNA from 1 species
CCCUUAGACGUUCUGGGCUGCACGCGCGCUACACUGAAGCUAUCAACACGUUUUCCCUCCCUGAGAAGGGCGGGUAACCUUUUGAAUCAGCUUCGUGGUAGGGAUCGGGGCUUGCAAUUGUUCCCCGUGAACCAGGAAUUCCUAGUAGACGCGAGUCAUAAGCUCGCAUCGAUUAAGUCCCUGCCCUUUGUACACACCGCCCGUCGCUACUACCGAUUGAACGUUUUAGUGAGGCAUUUGGACCGACGCAUCUCAGUUUAACCGCUGGUUUGUGUUGGAAAGACUUCCAAACUUGAGCGUUUAGAGGAAGUAAAAGUCGUAACA